AAUCAACGCUGGCGGCGUGCCUAACACAUGCAAGUCGCACGAGAAAGUGGAGCAAUCCAUGAGUAAAGUGGCGCACGGGUGAGUAACACGUGAAUGAUCUACCUCCGAGUGGGGAAUAACCUAGAGAAAUCUGGGCUAAUACCGCAUAACACUUACGAGUCAAAGCAGCAAUGCGCUUGGAGAGGAGUUCGCGGCCGAUUAGUUAGUUGGCGGGGUAAUGGCCCACCAAGACGAUGAUCGGUAUCCGGCCUGAGAGGGCGCACGGACACACUGGAACUGAAACACGGUCCAGACUCCUACGGGAGGCAGCAGUGGGGAAUUUUGCGCAAUGGGGGAAACCCUGACGCAGCAACGCCGCGUGGAGGAUGAAAUCCCUUGGGAUGUAAACUCCUUUCGAUC
rnacentral:rRNA from 1 species